rnacentral:rRNA from 1 species
GACGAACCACACGAACGUUAUUCGGAAUUACUGGGCUUAAAGGGAGCGUAGGCGGGCUAUCAAGUCUGGGGUGAAAUCCCGCGGCUCAACCGUGGAACUGCCUCAGAUACUGCCGGUCUCGGGCCAACGUAGGGGCAACUGGAACGAACGGUGGAGCGGUGAAAUGCGUAGAUAUCGCUUGGAACGCCGAAGGUGAAAACAGGUUGCUGGGGUUGUGCCGACGCUGAGACACGAAAGCCAGGGGAGCGAACGGG